rnacentral:lncRNA from 1 species
GGAGGGGCAUUAGAGAAGGAAUUGCAAGUUGUACCUUGCAAGUCUUAAGGACAAGCCACAAGGUAUGGUUUAUGUCCUUAUCUUCAAUUCUAAAUAUUAGAUCUUCUAAAUAUUUACAUUCGAUAUAAAGAGCUAAUCACUUGUAUAAUUGUAUAUAGGUGGAGAAGCCAAGUAGAAGAAGAACAAGCAAAGAAAAUGUGGUGAAGGGUUCGGCCACUAUGUUUUUUGCUCACUACUUAGGAAGUUUGUUAGGCAUUAAAGAUUGUCUUUAAACUUUCUUAUUUUGAUAAGAACUUAUUAUGUGGCUUCAUGUGAUGGAAGACCACUAUAUAGUGCCUAAAUGUAUAAAGGUAUUUAUAUUAGUCUCUAAAUGUAUAGAGCUAAUACUUUAGUAUUAAACAUUAUGAAUGUUUGAACUAUCAUAUUAAUGUAAUGUGAAGUAUGCCUUUUUAAUAUAGUAUUUCCUUAAAGUAGUGUUAUGAAUUGAAAAUUGUCUUGUUGUAUCCUAGAUGAGAUACAAGAGUUAUAUCACUUAAUUGUAAUGUGAUAAACCAAACUUUAGAUUUAUCAAUUAUGGAUAGAUCUCACAUAUAGGACAUAAAAGGAUACAAUGAAUCUUUAGAUUUGGUUCCAUUUGUCUACUUAUGAGUUCUAUAUGAAUUGACAAAAGUCUAGAGAAUCCUUUCUUGAAGAAAAGGAAGAUCACAUUAUAAUGAUAUAAGUAAUAAGAAAAAUGUUUCUUAUAUGGUUAUCACUUGAAACACAAUGAUCAAGAUCACUCUUGAUUCAAUUAGUAGUUUUGAACAAUUAAUUGGGCAUUCUUAAAAUUGUUUUAAAAAUGUCAAAUGUGUUAGUGAUUAAACCAAGAAAGAAGUGUCUAAAUCUAUAAAAGGUUUAAAGACUUUAGUCACUUAAAUAACAAGAUAUUAAACUUAGUGAAGAUUGAAACAAAUAAAGCUGGAAAUGUUUCAAAGCUACUACACAAUGUCUUCUACCAAUAUAAUCCACUUUUAUACAUUUUGAAUGUAUGAAAUGAUUUCUCAUUAAAGUCAUGAGAAAUAGUGGGAGGUGUGAAAAUGGAUAUAAACUUGAAUGUGAUUGGUUUAUAGUUGUCUAGAGAAUAAUAGUACUUGACUAUUAUUAAGAGUUUGUAAUUUUAAUUGUUAAAAGGACUCAAGCUCUUCAAACGUUAAAAUUCUAUGUUGUGUAACAUUUAAAGAAUAGUCUUUGAAUGUUGGUUUCGUCAACCUAGCAUAAAAUGGUUAUAUGUUGGGAGUCGUCCAUCAUUCUCUUUUAUGAGAACAUGCUAAUACAAAGCAUAUGGACAAGUUGAUGAAACAAAAGGGAAUAAGUUUCAAAAUGAGUCACAACAUAUGGUUUAACAACAAGACAAUCCAAAUUCAACAUCUCAUGUAACGAUAUUGCUCUAUGUAGUUUUGAUAAAGAAUUAUAUCAACCACCUAGAAGGAAUGGUUGAGUUUCUAUAUCCUUAGUAGGAGCCAUGCUUCCACUAAAGACUUAGAUAAUUCUUAUAUGACUACAUUAAAGGUCUUAGUAUGACUAAAACUUGAAGUAUGGUGUAUGACACCAUAUAAUUUAAAUGAAUAGAUUUGAUAAAGCAAGUCACACAUUUCAUGGAAUUGCUUGAGAAGGAAUUCUUUUAUGUAUGAUUCAUUUAAAUUAGUGGGAGCAAUAUGCAUUCAAAUCAAGAAAAUAUAAUUGUUAAUUUUGAAUGAAUGCUAAGUUACAACAAGGCCAGUGGGAGUGAUGUCAUAAUUUGAGCAACAAGAUGUGAAUAAAGUCUAUUUGAUAGACUUUAUGAAACAUAGAUGUUACUCGAAAAAUGACAAAACAUGACACGGUCAAUAAUGUUAUAUGGGAAUUAAAUCUCAAAUGUUGAAGAUUUAAGAAAGCAUUUUCCUAUGUGAUAAGAAAUCACUUUCAUAACCCUUAUAAUGAAUGUGUCAUAAAAUCACAAAAGGGACACAUGUAUUGACUUGUGAAGUAGAUAUCCAAAGGUGAAGAAACCACUGAGUUUAUCACUUUAAGAUAUUACUAUAUCCCAAGAUCAGAACCAAAGCAACUGAUAGAGUAUUAUUGCCUUUAAGAAAGAAACAUCAGAGUGGGACUCUGGAAGCGUGCAUUCACUUAGGUUGUUAACCAAAGUGAAAAUAAGCCAUUUUAACAAAUGGAACUUCAUAAUGGAUGAAGUACUAAUCAUAUGAACGAAUUGUUAGUUUUGUACUGCAAUGGUCUCAAGGUUGGAGCAAAGCUUGUAUAAAGUAUACAAACGAAAUAUAUGUCGAUAUAUAGUUUUAGAAACUGCUUCAAAAGGUGUUUUUGAAUGGAAGGGGUUCUUUUAGAACCAAUGAUUGAAUCCAAACCAUAAGGUCGUUAGUAGA